AUGAUCUCAGUUAAUUGAUGCUGAUGUUGUACAUAUAUAUACCCCACGACGUUUGCAAGUGAUUGGUUCAAAUGUAUGGUCAGUUACAAUAGGACCGGGCCCAUCUGAAGAGAAACCGCAUGUCGGUUUACUAAGCAGGGAUUUCUAUUAAUUAAACUAACUAAUGAAUCCUAACAAUAACGAUGAUCGGAACAGAAGAAACAUGAGAUGCUGAACCCAAGCAACCUAGCCUAUGCCUUAGGCAACAUCCUAUUAAUCCCGGGUGCCCCAGCCCUAGCGCAUGCGCGCUUCCUCCUGAGUAGCCCACACAAGGCGUGUGGCCGCCGGUUGCAGUCCGUCGAAGAUGCAACUGUUG
rnacentral:lncRNA from 1 species